rnacentral:rRNA from 1 species
GACGAACGCUGGCGGCGUGCCUAAUACAUGCAAGUCGAACGCUGAAGGAGGAGCUUGCUCUUCUGGAUGAGUUGCGAACGGGUGAGUAACGCGUAGGUAACCUGCCUGGUAGCGGGGGAUAACUAUUGGAAACGAUAGCUAAUACCGCAUAAGAGUAGAUGUUGCAUGACAUUUACUUAAAAGGUGCAAUUGCAUCACUACCAGAUGGACCUGCGUUGUAUUAGCUAGUUGGUGGGGUAACGGCUUACCAAGGCGACGAUACAUAGCCGACCUGAGAGGGUGAUCGGCCACACUGGGACUGAGACACGGCCCAGACUCCUACGGGAGGCAGCAGUAGGGAAUCUUCGGCAAUGGACGGAAGUCUGACCGAGCAACGCCGCGGGAGUGAAGAAGGUUGUCGGAUCGUAAAGCUCUGUUGUAAGAGAAGAACGAGUGUGAGAGUGGAAAGUUCACACUGUGACGGUAGCUUACCAGAAAGGGACGGCUAACUACGUG